rnacentral:rRNA from 1 species
UACGUAGGGUGCAAGCGUUAUCCGGAAUUAUUGGGCGUAAAGAGCUCGUAGGCGGUCUGUCGCGUCGGCUGUGAAAUCCCGGGGCUCAACCCCGGGCCUGCAGUCGAUACGGGCAGACUAGAGUGCGGUAGGGGAGACUGGAAUUCCUGGUGUAGCGGUGAAAUGCGCAGAUAUCAGGAGGAACACCGGUGGCGAAGGCGGGUCUCUGGGCCGUAACUGACGCUGAGGAGCGAAAGCGUGGGGAGCAAACAGG